AGAGACCGGUUAACCCUGGAGCCCAGCGAUAUUUUCAAACGUGUAUAGAGUUCCUCUACUUACGAUAGGGCUGCCCCCUCCCCGCAAUAAACCCAUCGUAAGUUGAAAAUAUCAUAAUUUGUCGAGUUAUAGUUACAUCAGAAUUUAUUCAGACUAGGUAAUUUUCACGUUAAAGGAAACAUGACUUGUAGUUUAACAAUUUGAUGUCAAAAAACCCCACUGACUUAAAACCCAGUGAAGGAUUACUAUAGCUCAAAGACUGAAAAAAUAAAAAAACUUUCCUGCCAGGUUUGAGCAUAGGAAAUCAUGUAUGCGAGACAAAGUACGAAACGGAAGAAACCAUGUUUGCUCAUUCUGUUGCCAGCGAAAUUUCACAAAGCCCCUGACUCAGUGACUGAACGCAGUCCUCCAGAAGAAUGCCCUGAAGACAAUAAGUAGGAUAGAGCACAAGUUUUCACAUCUGUUGCUUGAAUCACUUCAUUUUUUAAAAAGAUACAGUCAGCGAUCCUAGCUCUUGCCUCUUCCUGUACGUAAGAUAACGUGUGACAGGAUUAAUGAUUAUGCCUCUGUAAUCUAUAACCAGAUGUAGUCUCCAAACAAAACUUUGAUGAGAUUUUGCUCCAACGUAACUUCUGAGCACGUUUAAUGUAACUUUUGAGCACAUGCAGAACUCCAUCCCUUGAUGUAGAAACUGGGGGCAGAACAGCUGCUUUGGACCAGUAUAACAUAAACUCUUUGAAAGACUCUCCAGGGUUGCAUUCCUCAGUAAGACUCCGAAUAAAACUAACUUUGAGUCUUUAAAAGCCUGAUUUUUUUCUUUAGUUGACAUGUAUAUAAAAUGAGAUCACCUUUACACCUUUUGUGAAUAAAGGAAUCUAAGCCUGGUGCUGUGGCUCACACCUCUAAUCCUAACAUUUUGGGAGGCCACAGUGGAAGGAUUGUCUGAGCCCAGGAAUUCAAGACCAGCCUGGGC
rnacentral:lncRNA from 1 species